rnacentral:rRNA from 1 species
AUGAAGCUGGAGUUGCUAGUAAUCGCGAAUCAGCAUGUCGCGGUGAAUACGUUCCCGGGCCUUGUACACACCGCCCGUCACACCAUGAGAGUUGGCAAUACCCAACGUACGUGAUCUAACCCGCAAGGGAGGAAGCGUCCUAAGGUAGGGUCAGCGAUUGGGGUGAAGUCGUAACAAGGUAGC